UACGGGAGGCAGCAGUGGGGAAUAUUGCACAAUGGGCGCAAGCCUGAUGCAGCCAUGCCGCGUGUAUGAAGAAGGCCUUCGGGUUGUAAAGUACUUUCAGCGGGGAGGAAGGCGAUGCGGUUAAUAACCGCGUCGAUUGACGUUACCCGCAGAAGAAGCACCGGCUAACUCCGUGCCAGCAGCCGCGGUAAUACGGAGGGUGCAAGCGUUAAUCGGAAUUACUGGGCGUAAAGCGCACGCAGGCGGUCUGUUAAGUCAGAUGUGAAAUCCCCGGGCUUAACCUGGGAACUGCAUUUUGAAACUGGCAGGCUUGAGUCUUGUAGAGGGGGUAGAAUUCCAGGUGUAGCGGUGAAAUGCGUAGAGAUCUGGAGGAAUACCGGUGGCGAAGGCGGCCCCUGGGACAAAGCUGACGCUCAGGUGCGAAAGCGUGGGGAGCAAACGAGGGAUUAGGAUACC
rnacentral:rRNA from 1 species